GUAGGUGAACCUGCGGAGGGAUCAUUACACAAUACAAUAUGAAGGCCGUACGCGGCUGGAUUAUUUUAUUACCCUUGUCUUUUGCGCACUUGUUGUUUCCUGGGCGGGUUCGCCCGCCACCAGGACCACACCAUAAACCUUUUUUAUGCAGUUGCAAUCAGCGUCAGUACAACAAAUGUAAAUCAUUUACAACUUUCAACAACGGAUCUCUUGGUUCUG
rnacentral:misc_RNA from 1 species